rnacentral:rRNA from 1 species
GAAAGUAAAAAAGGGCGCAUGGCGGAUGCCUUGGCUCUCGGAGGCGAUGAAGGACGUGAUAAGCUGCGAUAAGCUUUGGGGAGGUGCAAAUGACCUUUGAUCCAGAGAUUUCCGAAUGGGACAACCCAAUAUCUUGAAGAGGUAUUAUCCAACGUUGUUGGAGGCUAACGCAGGGAACUGAAACAUCUUAGUACCUGCAGGAAAAGAAAAUAAACAAUGAUUCCCCCAGUAGUGGCGAGCGAACGGGGAACAGCCCAAACCAUCCAUGUUACGGCAUGGGUGGGGUUGUAGGACUACGCCGUUGCAUGAAGACAUCAGAGAAGAACUUUCUGGAAAGAAAGACCAUAGAGCAUGACAGUUGCGUAUUCGAAUGUUGUCGAAGCAUAGUAGUAUCCUGAGUAGCGCGGAGCACGAGGAAUUCUGCGUGAAUCUGCCGGGACCAUCCGGUAAGGCUAAAUACUCCCGAGAGACCGAUAGCGAACCAGUACCGUGAGGGAAAGGUGAAAAGCACUUCGAACAGAAGAGUGAAAUAGUUCCUGAAACCGUGCGCCUACAAGCGGUCGGAGCUCGUUAAUGAGUGACGGCGUGCCUUUUGCAUAAUGAACCUACGAGUUGCCUUUGCCGGCAAGGUUAAGUGUGACGACACACGUAUCCGAAGCGAAAGCGAGUCUGAACAGGGCGUAUAGUCGGCAGUGGCAGACGCGAAACCAAGUGAUCUACCCUUGGCCAGGUUGAAGGCUGGGUAACACCAGCUGGAGGACCGCACCAAUAAGCGUUGAAAAGCUUCUGGAUGAGCUGAGGGUAGGGGUGAAAGGCUAAUCAAACUUGGAGAUAGCUCGUACUCCCCGAAAUGCAUUUAGGUGCAGCCUUGCGGGUUACUGAUGUGAGGUAGAGCGACUGAUAAGAUGCGAGGGCUUCACCGCCUAUCAAGUCUUGACAAACUCCGAAUGCGCAUCAGUUCUACCGCAGGAGUGAGGGCAUGGGUGCUAAGGUCCGUGCCCGAGAGGAGAAGAAUCCGGACCACCUGCUAAGGUCCCGAAAUGACAGCUAAGUUAAACUAACGAAGUCUGACUGCUAAGACAGCUAGGAUGUUGGCUUGGAAGCAGCCAUUCAUUUAAAGAGUGCGUAACAGCUCACUAGUCGAGGAGUUUGGCGUGGAUAAUAAUCGGGCAUAAGUAUCUUACCGAAGCUAUGGAUUCUAAUUAUAGAGUGGUAGGGGAGCAUUCCAUUCGGCGUUGAAGGUGUAUCGCGAGGUAUGCUGGAGCGUAUGGAAAAGCAAAUGUAGGUAUAAGUAACGAUAAAGAGAGUGAGAAACUCUCUCGCCGAAAGACUAAGGAUUCCUGAUCAACGCUAAUCGGAUCAGGGUUAGUCGGGGCCUAAGGUUAAGCCGAAGGGCGAUACCGAUGGAAGAAACGGUUAAUAUUCCGUUACUACCUUAUAGAGCGAUGUGGAGACGCAGAAGUGACACCUCCGCCGGCUGACGGAAUAGCCGGUUAAAGCGUGUAGAUGCAGAGAAGAGUAGGCAAAUCCGCUCUUUGAGUCGAACGUGACAGUACACAGAACCUUCGGGGGAUGUGAUAGUGAGGGUAAACAGACUGCCAAGAAAAUCCGCUAAGCUUUAAUCUAUAAGGUACCCGUACCGUAAACGGACACACGUAGUUAGGUAGAAUAUACUAAGGCGCUCGAGUGAUUCACGGUUAAGGAACUAGGCAAAUUGACCCUGUAACUUCGGGAUAAAGGGUCCCAGUCGCAAGGCUGGGCGCAGAGAAUAGGUCCAGGCAACUGUUUAACAAAAACACAGGGCUGUGCAAAAUUGAAAGAUGAAGUAUACAGCCUGACACCUGCCCGGUGCUGGAAGGUUAAGAGGAGAUGUCAUCGCAAGAGAAGCAUUGAAUUGAAGCCCCAGUAAACGGCGGCCGUAACUAUAACGGUCCUAAGGUAGCGAAAUUCCUUGUCGGGUAAGUUCCGACCUGCACGAAUGG